rnacentral:lncRNA from 1 species
CAUAUGCCACCACACUAUGUGUAGUCAGAACUUUUAGUGAGUGUUCUCUCCCUACAUGUGCUGUUUCCUAUAUUAUUUUGGCCACCCCUGCUGCAUGCUGUGCGCAUUUAGGGUGCCUUGCUUCUGUUGGACUCAACCUCAUGCUAUCCUACAUAAGUACCUGUCUUAAGAGCGACCUCUGCACAGCUCAGACGCCAGUUUCAAGAGCUCUCUAACAUUAGAAUCAUCAGCUGUGACUUAUAUAGUGUUAUUUCGGUACUUUAUACUUCACACAUUUUUGAACGUUGUUUAUAUGGGGAGUUCCUCUUUUUGUGUCUAUAUUUAUUAAUAUGCCUUGUGCACUACAGCUUCCUGUUUUUCAGUCUGGCUGAGCACUUGUUUGUGAGUAGAAACUGGCCUCUACAAGCCUUCAUCAUUAUAAUGAGCAGAUACACAUUACAAAUGCUUCAUAUAUACAGAGAAAAACCCAAUAAUCCACAUUUCACUAUUUUGUUCUUCGGUUCAGAUUUGGAUUCUGUAUUGUUCUUUAUUUGUUAUUAUUUAUAUUUAGAUUGUUUUUUGCUAGUCUUGGUUUGUUGUUGUCUGUUUGGGAGCUGACAUAGUCUCUAUAAAUAAACUUCUUUUGGUGGAGUAGCAUCAGGAGAGAAGCUCCAGAGAGGCAUCUUCCAUGUUAAACACUAAAAUAUAACAAAAGAGAUCUCCUCAACGUGUUGUAUAUUUUUAAUAUUUCCUUAUUAUUUUGUCAUAAAAUAAAUCAACCAAAUAACUUAAGCUGUGUGACAGCACCUUGCGUUUACGCCCGGCUGUGAACUGCCCUGAAGCUACACCCCCUUUCACCCAAUUUAAUUUCUCAAUCUUAGUUUAAACUAUUCCUGACCUUCUCCUUCUCUCGUCUGAUCAUCUCAAGUACGUCCUGUACCAAAUUUGCUUCCUCUUUUCAAGUCCCACAUUUAAUUACAAGCUCAAACAGAUUUGCCCUAUAUUGCUGUCUCGACGUGUUUCCUGUCAACUUAACAGAGUUAUUCUCAGAACUCAGAGCUGAGGUUCCCCUUUUCUAAGUCUGUAUGUUCUACAAGAGAGCAAGUCGGUAAACAAGUUUAUCAUCACAAAGGUUGUUAGGCAAAGGUCACGUAGACAUUUGCUUAGUAACCCUAAAACAGCACAUUUCAUGUAGCUAAUCGCAUAUAUUAACACCCCCCUUUUUGUGACACAUCUCAUGUGUUACAAACUCAAAAUCCUUCACUCAGGUUAGGCAAUUAAAAGAAAAGUUUAAUCCUAUCAUAUUAUGUAUAAAUGCUCCGGAGCUUCAAACCUGUAUUUAAGGAAUGAAAUCAAAUUAAUCAUCAUGUCAAAUCCCUUCUUGGCUCCAUCCACAGCCUGCAUCCUUGAAACGUCCUAGAAACAAAAACCUGUGUGUUAACCAGAACAUCACCUUUUAUACUCACUUUCUCCACUUAUGAUCCAACCUGUGUUAUAAAAGAAAAGUUAAAACAGAACAAUUAUCAAUCAUGUGUCCAACCUUAGUCCAGUCUUUUAUCAGUGUCCAGUCGGUCCAACCUAUGGUCUGCCUGGUCCGUCCAUUCACCUGUCCAUUCCCACACAUUCACUCACACGCAUUAACAUCAGGUAGUGGUAAACGUCCGCACAAAUAAUCACAUUUUCCACUUUC